rnacentral:rRNA from 1 species
CAAGACCUUGCGCUGAUUGAGCGGCCGAUAUCAGAUUAGCUAGUUGGUGAGGUAAAGGCUCACCAAGGCGACGAUCUGUAGCGGGUCUGAGAGGAUGAUCCGCCACACUGGAACUGAGACACGGUCCAGACUCCUACGGGAGGCAGCAGUGGGGAAUUUUGGACAAUGGGGGCAACCCUGAUCCAGCCAUGCCGCGUGAGUGAAGAAGGCCUUCGGGUUGUAAAGCUCUUUCGGCCGGGAAGAAAUCGCAUUGGUUAAUACCCAGUGUGGAUGACGGUACCGGAAUAAGAAGCACCGGCUAACUACGUGCCAGCAGCCGCGGUAAUACGUAGGGUGCGAGCGUUAAUCGGAAUUACUGGGCGUAAAGCGUGCGCAGGCGGUUUUGUAAGACAGGCGUGAAAUCCCCGGGCUCAACCUGGGAACU